ensembl:lncRNA
GUCAACGGUAAAGUGUUUCCGUGUAAUAAAUAAAUUGACUGUUCAUCAGCAAUCUGCAAUUCAUUUUGCAUCAAUAAUAUUUCAAAAAAUCCAUUUGAAUAAAUAAGAUUCUGCAAUGAAAAGAAGAUUUGACUCGUAUUACAUCACGUCACUCGACGGAUGCGGCACUUUGUGUGAGUAAAACAUAUUAACACACUUGAACGUCGAUACUCUCGGUUAUUUGAAACCAGCUCAGCCAAUUAUCCACGAGAAUUAGUUCCACUGUGUUGGCCGUGUGUUUUUUUUUGUCCUACAAUGUAUCGAUGUUGGUGUCGUCGCGCGCAACAUGCGUGACGCCAAUGAACGGAACACGCGCAGCGACUUCUCCCGCGUGUUUUCCAGCGCGUUUGGACUCAAACAAACUAACCCGAGUUGUUUCUCUACCGGCACGAAUGUUUGCACACACUCUCCAGCCGCUCACUUUUCCUUCCUCCCACCCGGGUGACAGAUGGCCGACAGGCUGAGAGACGGCCGCCAAUCUCCCCGUCCAACGAAUCCAGCCGCCCCCCAUUCUACACCCCCCCCCCCCCCGCCUGUGACUCGCCAGCUGUCACUGUCGACUCUUUCGGCCAUUUUUUCCCGGUGAUUGGAGUCUUUUACAUGGUGCGUGUGUUUGUGUGUGUGUGUGUGUCCACAAGCCGAUGCACACAGGAAGUGACACGUCUGCAGGAGACUCCACUCUGCUUUCGGGAGGAGUGCACGGCAGCGGUGAGACGUCCUCCGGAGAAACAGACUUUGAUAAACGGAACAUUUAUUGGCUUGUUUCGAACCGAUUGACAGACCAAAUUAUCUUCACGUCUCAGGACAAAAAAGUCAAAUUGGCCGGGUUUAAAACAGUGUCAUUUCAAAUCGGGUGAGACAUCGUUGUGUCGACCAGCAAGCCCUUUAAUAUAUUACUUGCAAUAAAAAGAAACAUGUUUAAUUAAUGAGUAAGAUGCAUAACUGUCAUUUUCAGUAGCUGCAGCCAUGACGGCUUUGUUAGCAGGUGAGAUAUCCCGUUCCCCCGUCUGAUCCAUUGCGGCUGUAGAAGAGAACAAACGUCACCGUGGACCCGUCUGGGACGCACCCCGUGUGUCUAUAAAUCCCGAAGGCCCAAACCCCCGAUGUGUCCCAAAAAAGCGAAAGGGAUUCUCACUAAGACGCCACAGAUCACAGUUCAUGAUUCCCAGAAGCCCAAGCACGUAACCACACAAAGCGCCUGACGUACAGGAGGCCCGGCGGCCCAACCCCCGCGAGGCAGCUAAUUGGAAUGCGGCCAUUGUUGACUUUCUGCAUUCAACCUCCGAGCUGCUGGGAAACAUCCAAAUGCCCGAUGUGAAAAAUGCAACCGGCACCGCAGAGGGGCGGAGUCAGCAGAGAGCUGUCAUGAAACGACGAAUUAAAUAAUGAUAAAAUAAAGAAAAACUCCACUGUAGGAAAGGCUGAACUGCUGCUGUAAUUCAAGAUAUAAAAGGGAAGCCGAUGCUUAAGGCUGCAUUCUCUCUCCCGACCAACAGGGGGCGACUCCUCUGCUCCCAUAGACGUCUAUGAGGAAAUGACUCUACUUCUCUGUAGUGACCAGCAGGGGGCGACUCCUCUGCUCCCAUAGACGUCUAUGAGGAAAUGACUCUACUUCUCUGCAGUGACCAGCAGGGGGCGACUCCUCUGCUCCCAUAGACGUCUAUGAGGAAAUGACUCUACUUCUCUGCAGUGACCAGCAGGGGGCGACUCCUCUGCUCCCAUAGACGUCUAUGAGGAAAUGACUCUACUUCUCUGUAGUGACCAGCAGGGGGCGACUCCUCUGCUCCCAUAGACGUCUAUGAGGAAAUGACUCUACUUCUCUGCAGUGACCAGCAGGGGGCGACUC